rnacentral:lncRNA from 1 species
AAGUGUUGUACAAAGACAAACAGCUGCUUCCAAUUCAGCCAACCCUGAUAUUAUAGGGCAACAUGCAUUCGCUGCAGGGUCCCCUAUUCCAAUGUGCACCAACCCUCCCAAUAGAUUCACACACCCUCCCAACUUCAACGUGUCAAUCGGACAAGUCUCUUUCCCCGAGGGUGGGCACGGUGUGUUUACCCCUGGCGACGGUUUUCCAAGAAUCGGAGGGACUGGGAGUACUGGUGGAAUGGGAACAGAUGGGAUAGGAACCACCGGAGGAAUGGGGACCGAGGGGAUUGGAACCACCGGAGGAAUGGGGACCGAGGGGAUUGGAACCACAGGAGGAAUGGGGACGGAAGGGAUUGGAACCACGGGAGGGAUCUUGAUGGGGAUGGGGGGAAGGGUGAUGGGGCCUUUGGGGGACUUUGAACCGGAACCGGGCUUGGUUUUUCUAGGGGGUUUGCCGCUGCAUGAACCGCAGCCGAGGAUGGGAGAG